rnacentral:rRNA from 1 species
GCCGUAACUAUAACGGUCCUAAGGUAGCGAAAUUCCUUGUCGGGUAAGUUCCGACCUGCACGAAUGGCGUAAUGAUGGCCAGGCUGUCUCCACCCGAGACUCAGUGAAAUUGAACUCGCUGUGAAGAUGCAGUGUACCCGCGGCAAGACGGAAAGACCCCGUGAACCUUUACUAUAGCUUGACACUGAACAUUGAGCCUUGAUGUGUAGGAUAGGUGGGAGGCUUUGAAGCGUGGACGCCAGUCUGCGUGGAGCCAACCUUGAAAUACCACCCUUUAAUGUUUGAUGUUCUAACGUAGGCCCCUGACCGGGGUUGCGGACAGUGUCUGGUGGGUAGUUUGACUGGGGCGGUCUCCUCCCAAAGAGUAACGGAGGAGCACGAAGGUUAGCUAAUCCUGGUCGGACAUCAGGAGGUUAGUGCAAUGGCAUAAGCUAGCUUGACUGCGAGCGUGACGGCGCGAGCAGGUGCGAAAGCAGGUCAUAGUGAUCCGGUGGUUCUGAAUGGAAGGGCCAUCGCUCAACGGAUAAAAGGUACUCCGGGGAUAACAGGCUGAUACCGCCCAAGAGUUCAUAUCGACGGCGGUGUUUGGCACCUCGAUGUUGU